rnacentral:rRNA from 2 species
UUAAAAUGUAAAUAUAAAUUCUAAAUUAGUAUUAGUUAUAAUCUUUAAAGUUAAAGAUUUUGGCGGUAUUUUAGUCUUUUCAGAGGAACCUGUUCUAUAAUCGAUAUUCCACGUUUAAUUUUACUUAUUUUAAAUAAUUUGUAUAUCGUCGUAGUUUGAAUAUUUUAUAAGAAUUAUAAUAUUCAAGAUUUUUUAUAAAAAAAAUAAAUCAGAUCAAGGUGCAGUUUAUAAAUAAGGAGAAAUGGGUUACAAUAAUGUUAAUUAUAUGGUAUAAAAAUUGAAAUUAAUUUUUAUUAAAGUGGAUUUGAAAGUAAUAUAGUUUAUUUAAAUUAUAUGAUUAAAGCUCUAAAAUAUGC